AAAGUACGUUUCACCCUCGGGUGACAGGGAGACAGGUGGUGCAUGGUUGUCGUCAGCUCGUGUCGUGAGAUGUUGGGUUAAGUCCCGCAACGAGCGCAACCCUACGUUAGUUGCUAACGCGUGAAGGCGAGCACUCUAGACGAACUGCCGUUGACAAAACGGAGGAAGGUGGGGAUGACGUCAAAUCAUCAUGCCCCUUAUGUUCUGGGCUACACACGUGCUACAAUGGCCGGUACAGACGGACGCAAAGCCGCGAGGUGGAGCAAAUCCUAAAAAGCCGGUCUCAGUUCGGAUUGCAGGCUGCAAUUCGCCUGCAUGAAGUCGGAAUCGCUAGUAAUCGCAGGUCAGCAUACUGCGGUGAAUACGUUCCCGGGCCUU
rnacentral:rRNA from 1 species